UUCAUUUUUGUUGAGUUCGACGGAGAGUCAUGGCUGUUUUUAACUUUAAAAUCUGCUCCCAUCCGACUUUAUUUUUAGAAAUGUUUAACUUCCGACGUCGUGAAUGGUAUUUUUAGCUGGUAAGUUGCGUGAAACUGUACGUUUUACGGGUGUUUAUGGGAUGAACACGUGCUGUCAUCGGCCCGCACAGACCUGAAAAGAUGUGACUGCAGAGCUCGUGAGAAGGUGCUCCAUCAGCUGCAGGGAUGCAGGUCAGAGGAGUACCGGUGAUGAAGCAGACGAUGUCCUGGAUCAUCAUGAUCAGAGGGUUUAUGAGGAUCAGCCAGCAGCUCUGCAGUCACGUGGAAAACUGGGUAAUUUUCCCGUCAUCCCUUUCAUGUGCAUCACCUGCAGCCUUCCAGCGGGGCUGAACCUGCAGUGGUUCUGUUCCUUCCUGCCAAGUCUGCCACAGAAACGAGGGGCGGUUUGAGGCCCCGCUGUGGCCCUGACACGGCAGGGUUAUAGGUAAACCUCCACCAAACCCAGGUCUGAGCUCCAGCUCGGUUUCUGAGGCGUCAGGCCACGUUCAUGACGUCACCGUGUCUCUGCAGGACGAGCCCCCUGCAGCUUUCCGGAGGUGGGAUCACCUGGAGCCGGAUCGUCAGGGUCCAGGAGGAGAACCUGACGGGGGGACAAAUUCAGCUUUUCUGCCUAAUUUCUUUUAUUUCUUCCCAGUUUGUUUGUAACUGGUUGGAGCUUUAGUUUUCUGUAAAGCAGCGACCGGUCGUAAAUGUGACGUAGAGAUAAAGCUGCCAGGGUCGGGGAUCUUCCUCCUGCAGCUCCUCCUCCUCGUGUGGAAAUAAUUCUUCAUGUUUUCCAUCUGCAACGAAGGAAUUUCAGGAAUUUUAGUUUUUAAAAGGAGUUUUAUUUUCAUUAGACUUUUUCUGGAGGAAUUAACGAAGCAUCCGUUCUGUGACAAAAUAAAAGCAUUUCUAAUGAAAACUGCUGCAUUUUAUUUUCCUUUUAUGUUGGAAGAUGAUUGACGUUUUUAUAGUAAAACUGGUGCAUUGACUUUUUGAUUUUCUACAUUUCUAUAUGAAUAUAUAAACAUGCAUAGUUCAUGUAUUUGUUGCUACUCAUGUUUGUGUAUUAAAAUGUACAAACCUUAGAAA